rnacentral:rRNA from 1 species
UGGGGAAUAUUGGACAAUGGGCGAAAGCCUGAUCCAGCCAUGCCGCGUGUGUGAAGAAGGUCUUCGGAUUGUAAAGCACUUUAAGUUGGGAGGAAGGGCAGUAAGCGAAUACCUUGCUGUUUUGACGUUACCGACAGAAUAAGCACCGGCUAACUCUGUGCCAGCAGCCGCGGUAAUACAGAGGGUGCAAGCGUUAAUCGGAAUUACUGGGCGUAAAGCGCGCGUAGGUGGUUCGUUAAGUUGAAUGUGAAAGCCCCGGGCUCAACCUGGGAACUGCCUCCAAACCGGGCGAGCUAGAGUAGGGCAGAGGGUGGUGUAAUUUCCUGUGUAGCGGUGAAAUGCGUAGAUAUAAGAAGGAACACCAGUGGCGAAGGCGACCACCUGGGCUCAUACUGACACUGAGGUGCGAAAGCGUGGGGAGCAAACAGG